GCUAAAAACUUAGCCUUANCCCUACAAUUAUAUUUACCCUAUUCUACUUACACAAAAUAAAACAUUCUUUAAGCUUAGUAAAGGAGAUAAAAAAGUUUUUUAGAGCUAUAAAAUUAGUACCGCAAGGGAAAAAUGAAAUAAAAAUGAAACAAAAUUCAAGCAUAAUAUAGUAGAGUUUUCCCCUCGUACCUUUUGCAUCAUGAUUCAACUAGUUUAACCACGCAAAAAGAAUUUAAGUUUGACUUCCCGAAACUAAGUGAGCUACUUCAGGGCAGCUAAAUGAGCCAACCCGUCUCUGUUGCAAAAGAGUGGGAUGACCCUUAAGUAGAGGUGAUAAACCUAACGAACUUAGUGAUAGCUGGUUAUUCAGAAAAAGAAUUUUAGUUCAACUUAAAAUUACAUAAAUAAAAUAAAAUAAAAUUUUAAUUUUAAAGCAAUUCAAAUAAGGUACAGCCUAUUUGAAAUAGAAUACAAUCUAAACUAUAGGGUAAAUAUAAAAAAUUAAUGUAAUAAAGUAGGCCUAAAAGCAGCCAACUUUAAAAUAGCGUCAAAGCUUACUUCCAUAAUUUUUUAAUACUAUUAUUUACAAUGAACCCUUUAUUUUUACUGAAUAUUUCUAUAAAGUUAUAGAACCUUUUAUGUUGAAACUAGUAACAAGAAGUUAAACUUCUCCUCAAUAUAAGUAUAAGUCGACUAGGAUAAACCAUCGACAAUUAACGCUUAAAUUAAAUGUAUUAACUCCACAAGAAAAACUUACAUUACCCCACGUUAAUCUUACACCAGAACAUUUAAGGAAAGAUUNAAAAAA
rnacentral:rRNA from 1 species